rnacentral:rRNA from 1 species
GUGUCAGCCGCCGCGGUAAUACGGGGGGAGCAAGCGUUGUUCGGAAUCACUGGGCGUAAAGGGCGUGUAGGCGGUUCGGUAAGUGGGAUGUGAAAUCCCUCGGCUCACCCGAGGACCUGCAUCCCAUACUGCUGAGCUUGAGUACAGGAGAGGGUGGGGGAAUUCCUGGUGUAGCGGUGAAAUGCGUAGAUAUCAGGAGGAACACCGGUGGCGAAGGCGCCCACCUGGCCUGCUACUGACGCUGAGGCGCGAAAGCUAGGGGAGCAAACGGGAUUAGAAACCCCUGUAGUCC